UCCCAUUUGACUUUCUUUAUUUUUUUGUAUCUUAACAAAUGUGACAAAUGAAACAUGGAGCUAUUUAUAUUCUGUUCUGAAAUAAAAAUGAUACAUUACUUCGAUGCCCAACAAUUACAUUAAAAAUCCAUUUAUUUAUGAAUGCUUCAUUGUAUUAGUACAUAUGCCUUGAUUUGGUGCAUAGGAGGUGGAUAGUUUAACGUGUUCAUCUGAAUACCAAUUUUUAAAAAGGUGUCAAGCUUUACUCUAUGACAGACAGGAGAUACAGGUUUGAGUUUCCAUGUAUUGCUGAGUACAGAUGAGACUGGAAUUUAAGCAAUAUUCAUUACCCUUGUAACAAAUAAUUUCACUGAGAGGUAUUUGUUUAAUUAGAAUCAAACGUAACUUUACAAUCAAAUAACAAGUAAAAAAAACAGUAUUUUUUUAAUAUGUGCAAUAGCUUGUUAGUCUCCUACUAUUUCUAAUUCUUUUUGUACUUUCUCUUGUAAUCAUAGUUGAAUAUCUAGGCUAAACAUUUCAGAAAUGAUUAGUAAUUUGGGGUGCCCAUUCAGAAUUACUCUACUGGAGCCCAAAAGGGAAUAUUUGGCACUUUCUGACAAUCUAACUCCUUCAAAGUAAUUUAUGUGGAGCUGAAAUAACUAAUCCUUACCGAACUUCUUCCAUCCAAAGAUACCAUAUAUUCAUCCCAGUGAACUCUGACAUGUAGUUUGUUCCACAUCCUCAGUCGCUCUGGUUAUCAGGCCAAGGAGCAAUAAUUAAGUCUGCAUAAACAUUUAGAAAAGUUUUAAAUUUCACUAGGCAGUUGAGCACUUUCACACACUACUUAUUUAUACACACAACUAAAUCAGCUCACUUAAUUUGCCCCUCUCUAUGUCUAAUCAACAUAACAGCUUGUUAUUCUGCUUAAACCAAGUAUUAAACCAAAUAUUUAAAAAUACAACAACAACAACAAAAAACUCUACUGGGUUUUACAAACAAGUAUAUGACAUAGUAGUUUGUUGUAAUGACUUAGGUUGGAGCAGCUUUCUUGUCCGGGACCUUAACAGCUCUCUCAGAACCAGUACUCAGAGACAAAGAUGUGAACAUUGACAAUGUUACGAUGAGAUACCACUCCACCCAUGACGUAGUUCAUCUCCAGUUUCAGGAUGGCAUGGAAAGGUCCAACAAUGGGUCUCACUUGGCGCACCACACCCACUGUCAUACCAUCCAUGUAACGCUUGAUGAUAUCAAAGGAUUCUCUUAAAUUUCCUUCUGUUAUGUCAAAUAUGAUAUCUGCCUGGUUGGCUGGAUAUGUAGGUGUAAUGGCACGAAGAAAAAUGAUCUCUUCAGGUCUUGUAAAUUCUCUGAAUGUGGGUAGUGAAAUGACAGUGUGGGAAAUUGUGUGGACUGGAUCCAACACACAGUUGACAUCAUUUGGUCGACAAGACUUAAUGCAACGGAUAGUAUCUGUCUUUUCAAGUCUGACAGUAUCUCCAGACUUGCGGUAAUUUUCUGGACAUUCCAAAGACAGACAGCGAAACCCUCCCUGGAUGUUAAAGCAGGUCUCAUUGAAAGAACAGUUGUGAGUUUCUGUAACACACUCAUCAAUAUCUUGGCAGUUGCGUGCAUUGGGUGCCAACCUGUAACCCGUGGAGGGACAAGUACAUUGAAAGCUCCCAGGAAUAUUAAUACACCGAAAAGAACAGAUGUGACCUCCAGUAGGUAAAGCACAUUCAUCAAUAUCUUCACAUGAAAUUCCAUCUAUGUCACUAAGUUGAAAGCCACGUCGGCAGUAACACUGAUAGGAGCCAUACACAUUGGCACACUCUUGACUACAUGGGCUGCUCUCACACUCAUUUAAAUCUUCACAUGACCUGCCAUCAGAUGAAAGCUUGAAUCCCAUGGUACAAGUGCAGUAGUAGGAACCAGGAGUAUUUUCACACUUGUGAGCACAAAGGCGGCCUGGAUAGCGUCUGCAUUCAUUGAUAUCAAUACAAGUUCUACUGAUGACAUCAAAAGAAUACCCAGACUUGCACUCACAGCGGUAAUUGCCUGGUCCAUUUAUACAAACAUGUCCUUCACCACAUGGCUGAUCAGAAGAUGAGCAUUCAUCCACAUCUACACAUCUCGUUCCAUCUUCGUUGAGAUGAUAACCUCGGCCACAGCUGGGUGAGAUUCGCUGACAGGUAUACGAGCCAUCAGUGUUGAUACAUAUCUGACCAGCUGGACACGGCAUGUUGGUGCUCAAGCAUUCAUUGAUAUCAAUACAGUUGCCUAGAGCAUCUUGUAUAAACCCAUUCAUGCACUGUAGCUUGGGUCGGCAACGGAAAGAUCCUGGAGUAUUCUGACAGAUAAAAUCGGGGGGGCAGUUAUGAGUACCAGUCUCACAUUCGUCAAUAUCUUUGCAACGACUGUCAUCAGUUAGCUCAUAACCAGUUCCACAGCUCGUGUCCCGCUGACAACGAAAAGAUCCUAAUGUAUUGACACAAGUUUGUCCAAUCCCACAGCUGUGUGUCCCAGUGAUACACUCGUUAAUAUCUUCACAGUUGACACCAUCUGGUUGAAGCUGAUAUCCAACAAAGCAGGAGCAGACAUAACUGGAUCCUGUGUCUCUGCACUGCUGAGAGCAGGGACCACCACCUCUGCAGCCAUCGUGCAGAUAAGGAUCUUCUUGGUCUAGUUCCUCCUUUGAAAUUUCAACUUGUUCCUUUUUAGGAGCAUCAUCACUGAUGGACACAUCCGUGCCUUCUUGACCCUUCACACAACAAGCUCUGAAGACAAUUCCACACUGGUAUCCUAUCUUCAGGUUGGGUUCACAGCUCUGGCCUUGAACUUGGGCAGUCUUUCCCAGUAGACAACAGUAACAACAUUUCUUAAAGUAUUCAGCUUCACAGGUGGAAUUUUCACCAUUGUGUGAGUCACACUCCUCAUGCACGCUGGCAAAUUCAAUCCCAUCUGAACAGUAGUGCUCCUCCAGCUUGCUGCGACAGCACUGCACCUGAGUCAUGCUGCAUUCUCUGGACUCAGAAAUUAAUGGUAGAGAAGUACAUAUUCUGUUUUUGUUUGCCCAUUCAACACCCUUGUCACAGCAUUCUUCCAUCGAAAGAUCUUGGCCCCGGAGCGCAGGCAGCAACGCCAGGAGCAGCAGCAGCAGCCGCAGCGGCCGGGCCCCGCGGAGCUUGUCCAUCGGCCGGCGGGAGCACUCGCACCGAGCGGGGCUUGGCUCUCCCCGCUUCUCGCUCGCCGCCGUUGCUGCUGUGGCUGAUGUUAUCCCAGCCGCCUGAGACCGGUUGGAAAAGAGCUCGCAGGAACCCCCCGCUCGGUGGGCUUUACAAAGAUUUAAUUCACUGCCUCCCCCGGUUAAUUACACAGCCUGCAAGUGCUCAGCAGAACUGAGCGGCACCGCGGCUCGGAGGCAGAGCCCCUGUUGCGCUGAUACCCCUACUCUCUCCUCGCCACCCCCACACAGGCUGUAAAUGUGACUCCCUUCGGCUCGGAAAACUUUACAGAUCCUCAGCAUGAACCUAGGGACGGCCUGACUGAUUCUGUGCGCGAGAAACGCAGCGAAUUCUGUCGGAGCCAAGUGGGAGAAAGCCACAAACAAAGGCAAAGCAGAGAAAAACAAAAGAAACCACCUAGCAGGGGAGGAAAGGUUCAACCUCUGGAAAGGAGAUUUUCAACUACACCCCCUUCCUUGAUCUUUCCGUGGAUUUUACUCUGCAAUAACUGUUUUUGUUUGGUUUGGGGUUUGGUGUUUUUUUUUUUUUUCUUCAGGACAAAGGGUUUUAAAAAGGAGAGAGAUUCUAGAAUCUCUAAACAAACUUCACUGGGGGGGGGGGGGGGGGAAGAAAAGAAAAACAAAUCGAACACAAAAAGACCUCACCGUUCUUACUUCUGGUAAAAUAUCAGGAUGAGAAUUUGUACCCAGAUGAGGCGCUCAGCUCUGCCCUAUCGACCCCCCCACCUCCAUUAUCUUAUUUAAACAGGAACGCAAACACUGAUAGUGGUCAAAGGCAAAGCUGGGUUGGAGGCACUCAGUUGUCUAUGUUGCUGCCAAGAUCUUUUAGAUAAUGUGGGGACGAUGUUUACAUGCAGAUGCAUGUGGAAACAAACAGGGAGUUCAUCGCUCCACUCCGCUUUGCCGUAGGUUUUACUCAGAAACAGCUGUAAGUUGCUUUAUGUUUGCUUGGCACUUGUGCCACGGGGGGCUCUGAUUGGACUAUUUGUCUUGUGAGCACUCAAUAACUCAACAUGCGUGGGUAUCUCUCCUCAAAACAUCCAACUAGAAAACAGCAUUUAACACACAUAAGAGUUGAAAGUAUGCAGAUUUUUUUCUGCCCUUGGUGACUUGCUCUUUUCUUUCCUUAGGGAAGAACAUGUGGCCAUGGAUCCAACUAGCCCAACAGCUUGCUUUCAGCAGCGAUUGCAAGUGGUCACCAGAGGAAGGGCAAGCUCAAGGAAAGCCUUCUCUCAGCUAUCCUGCCAGCCUCCAGCUGCUUUGAGUUUGGAACAUUUCCUCAGAGCAAUGUAAUUUCUGUGUACUUAGUAGCCUUCAAUGAAUUCCUAUUCCAGCCAGCUUCAUGCAUCUUCUGCUGGUGCCUCCUCGUUGCUGCAGGAAGACACAUCAAAGAAGAGGCAGUUUAAAAAAAGGCAAGGAAGAAUGGAGGACUGACUUUAUUCAGGGGUAUUUUUUCUUCCCUUUUCUACAUACACCCAUCUAUUUCAGCCUCUUCUUUAAAUGCCCUGUUUUCAAGUCUUCUUGCAUCUGUUACAGUGGGUACUUUGGCCUUUUCCUCACAACCUCCCAGCUGCAGUUUUUAACGUAUCAGACAGCUGCAGGAGGCAACUAACAAAGAUCACACCUUGUCUAAAUUUUGCACCAGCUUAACUGGAACAGCAGUGUCUCCUCUAUAGAAACCCUAGAGUCAGUUCCACAGUGGCUUAUUUCACAUUACUUUAAACCUACUACUAAUUGAUAAAAGAUGAAUAUAAAGAAGUUCACCAGUUUUACUGAAGCAAUAUAAAGUCACACAUAAUAGCUAGUCCACACAUGGGCUUACCCUGAUUAACAUCAUCUGUAGAGUAAGAAUUCCUUCUUCCUGCUUAGUUUGCCACCAGAAGUGGAAUGAGGCAAACUCAACUAAGAAUUUAAGAAAUAUUUCUAGAAACCCUCACAGCUAUGGCCAUCUGAAGAUCUGAUCAUAGUUCUUGGUUGCCUUUUUUUUUUCAUAUUAAUACAUAUCUCCAGUAUAAAUUGGCGCUCUCACCUACAAUCAGAUUCAGUGGCUUCAAGUACAUGUGAUUCUAAUUACUGACCCCAAGCUUUGUAGUGAGCUAAGCUGUGCACUUGGGGCUCAAUUCAAACCUCCUGGAAGUCCAUGGAAAGGGCUUAUGAGAGGGAACAUUUUGCACAACCACAUUUUUUUCUUACAUCUGUUUGCAAAAGCCUUGUAAUCCUUUGUGUAGCU
rnacentral:lncRNA from 1 species